rnacentral:rRNA from 1 species
UGCGUAGGUGGUGAGGUAAGUCGGAUGUGAAAUCUCCGGGCUCAACCCGGAAAUGGCAUUGGAAACUACCUUGCUGGAGGAUUUGAGGGGGGAUUGGAAUACUUGGUGUAGCAGUGAAAUGCGUAGACAUCAAGUGGAACACCAGUGGCGAAGGCGAAUCCCUGGAAAAUACCUGACACUGAGGCACGAAAGCUAGGGGAGCAAACA